rnacentral:rRNA from 1 species
GGGGAAUAUUGCACAAUGGGGGAAACCCUGAUGCAGCAACGCCGCGUGAAGGAUGAAGGUUUUCGGAUUGUAAACUUCUUUAGUCAGGGACGAAUAAAUGACGGUACCUGAAGAAUAAGCCACGGCUAACUACGUGCCAGCAGCCGCGGUAAUACGUAGGUGGCGAGCGUUGUCCGGAAUUACUGGGUGUAAAGGGCGUGUAGGCGGAAUAGAAGGUCAGAUGUGAAAUACCAAGGCUUAACCUUGGGGCUGCAUUUGAAACCGCUAUUCUUGAGUGCUGGAGAGGAAAGCGGAAUUCCUAGUGUAGCGGUGAAAUGCGUAGAUAUUAGGAGGAACACCAGUGGCGAAGGCGGCUUUCUGGACAGUAACUGACGCUGAGGCGCGAAAGCGUGGGGAGCAAACA